rnacentral:lncRNA from 1 species
CAUUUGAAUUGCUUUCUACUAUAAUGAAUGGGCAGAGCACAUGCCGUUACUUGCUAAAAAAAAAACUUGAUGACCGACCGUGUCCUGGUGCUUAAUCUCCUAGAUAUAUGUUCAGGCAUAGCUGUCUCCUAAGUUCUCUUCGUUUUCUUUUCUGAGAGUACAAGAGCUGUCGCCUAACUUGAUUUGCUGGCCAUGUUGUUCAUCCUCUUUUUUUUCCUCGAUCUUUGCCUCAGCAUCAUCAGCAUCAUGCACCGAUGCUCCUAAAUUAUUUACUGGUACAACAAGUCAAAAAUUGACAUGAAAAUUAAGAAAUGAUCGGCAAUAAUGAUGGAUGGAGUUAAACAGGAUGGCUCUCAAAGAAGCAACAUAGUGUGCCUUGAGACGCACAUGCAUGUAUGUGUAGUUCCCGUUAUAUAU